rnacentral:lncRNA from 10 species
CACGUUGGUUUCUCUGAUUAUUCAUGGUCUUUAUACUUGAAUUAUAGAUAGAUAUAUCACAUUUUAGAAUAUCCUGUGUCAUUUUUUUUUUAAACUGCAGCUUGAUUUCUUCCUUUCAAAUAACUAUUUGAAAAUUAGGUUACCUUGAUUUUGGGAGGGUGGGAGAAAGUGAUUGAAAUUAUUUCCAACUCUAGUUGAGUUGGCAUAUGAAGCUUGAACCAGAGCUUACAUGAAAGAAGUUUCACUUUUCAAAUGAGAUAAACUAAUGUUCUUUAAACAACCCUUUUGUUCUAAUGCUUUUCCUACUAAUUCUAAAUGGAGGUGAAGAAGACCCAGAGUAUACUUUCUGAGGUAAGCUGUUUUGACCAAGACAUUGGUUUAUUUUGGCUGUGUAUGCAUAUUAUUUUCAGUCCAAAUUCUAGGCCAUCUAAGAGGGCUUUGAAUUAAAAUUUAUCGUUCCUAUAGCAAAAUACAUGUAAAUAUAUGGAUAAAGUCACUAAAAACCUAGCACCCAGAUCUUGGUAUCUAAUACCAUUCUCCAAUAUAAGGAACCAGGACCCCUUGGAGACAAAUGGUUGAUUCUAGGAUGGGGCAGGAAAUCUACAAGGUGAUCCUGGGGCAUUUUGUAUAGUGCCGGGAAGUAAGGAAGAGCUGAACACCUCCACACCCCUCCACCCACACAAUUAUGGGGUGUGCGAAAGGGACACAGGAGCCAAAUGAAAGAGCUCCCAAAGUCCAAAGCUGGAACCAUUUGAGCAAAAAAUAAAGUGCUAUUGAAUAAUAAAUAACCCAAAUUAUAAAAUCUAUACUGUGUGUCUGUAUGUGAAAAAUAAAUGAUUGGAUAAAUGAGGAAGAAGAGAUAGAUCUCCCAUGCAGAAAAUUUCAAAUAAUUGAUGUGGAUACUCAGCCCUCAAGCAGGAGUAUAAGUCCUCGCUCCUUAAGUGGGGGCUGCACGUAUUGAUUUCCUUCCAAAGAGCGUGGAAACGGGGAAAAAUAAGGUUACAGUGGAAAAACUCUUACAGUGAAAAGCACUGCUUCAGCCAGAUGAUCAAAGUUAGCAUCAA